rnacentral:pre_miRNA from 1 species
CAACUACUCCCUCCGUUCGGAAUUACUUGUCGUAGAAAUGGAUGUAUCUAGACGUAUUUUAGUUCUAGAUACAUCCAUUUCCGAGACAAGUAAUUCCGAACGGAGGGAGUACCUG